GUGGGUAGUUUGACUGGGGCGGUCUCCUCCUAAAGAGUAACGGAGGAGCACGAAGGUUGGCUAAUCCUGGUCGGACAUCAGGAGGUUAGUGCAAUGGCAUAAGCCAGCUUGACUGCGAGCGUGACGGCGCGAGCAGGUGCGAAAGCAGGUCAUAGUGAUCCGGUGGUUCUGAAUGGAAGGGCCAUCGCUCAACGGAUAAAAGGUACUCCGGGGAUAACAGGCUGAUACCGCCCAAGAGUUCAUAUCGACGGCGGUGUUUGGCACCUCGAUGUCGGCUCAUCACAUCCUGGGGCUGAAGUAGGUCCCAAGGGUAUGGCUGUUCGCCAUUUAAAGUGGUACGCGAGCUGGGUUUAGAACGUCGUGAGACAGUUCGGUCCCUAUCUGCCGUGGGCGCUGGAGAACUGAGGGGGGCUGCUCCUAGUACGAGAGGACCGGAGUGGACGCAUCACUGGUGUUCGGGUUGUCAUGCCAAUGGCACUGCCCGGUAGCUAAAUGCGGAAGAGAUAAGUGCUGAAAGCAUCUAAGUACGAAACUUGCCCCGAGAUGAGUUCUCCCUGAGACUUUAGGUCUCCUGAAGGAACGUUGAAGACGACGACGUUGAUAGGCCGGGUGUGUAAGCGCAGCGAUGCGUUGAGCU
rnacentral:rRNA from 1 species